UACGGGGGGGUGCGAGCGUUUGUCCGGAAUCACUGGGCGUAAAGGGCGCGUAGGCGGCUUGGCAAGUGGAUGGUGAAAUCCCUCGGCUUAACCGAGGAACUGCCGUCCAAACUGCUUAGCUUGAGACCGGGAGAGGUGAGUGGAAUUCCCAGUGUAGCGGUGAAAAUGCGUAGAUAUUGGGAGGAACACCAGUGGCGAAGGCGGCUCACUGGACCGGUACUGACGCUGAGGCGCGAAAGCGUGGGGAGCAAACGGGG
rnacentral:rRNA from 1 species